GUUUAUUUUGAGCUUUUUCUUUUUUCCUGAGGUGGGCUUGUAUUGCUAUAAACUUUCCUCUUAGAAUGGCUUUUGCUGCAUCCCAUAGGUUUUGGAGUGUCAUAUAUUCGUUGUCAUUUGCUUCUAGGUACUUUUUAAUUUCCUCUUUGAUUUCUUCAGUGAUCCAUUGGUUGGAUCUAGAGGUGAUGUUUUUGGUAAACAGGCGGGGUUUGUGUUUGCCGAGUUCCUUUUACUUCUUUUUUAAGGUUGAACUAAAAUUCUUUCUCGGACAACCAGCUAUCACCAGGCUCGUUAGGCUUUUCACCUCUACCUACAAGUCUUCUCACUAUUUUGCCACAUAGAUGAGUUGGUUCUUUUAAACUGCUCAUAGGUAGCUCGUCUGGUUUCGGGGUAUCUAGCUAAAGUUCUCUUUGUUAGAUUUUUUCUGGUUAAACCAUUAUGCAAAAGGUAGAAGGGGUAAUCUUUGCUUUUUUUUACUUUUAUUUUAUUCUUUCAUCUUUCCCUUACGGUACUAUCUCUAUAGCGUCAGGAUAAAAAUUUCUAUCUCCUAUACUUUAAUGUUAGGUGAAUGUUUUAUUUUAUUUUGGUGUAUUUUUGUAUUUGUUUAGUAUGUUGAGCUAGCUUUGGUUCAAAGUACCCAUAUAUUGUGGGAUCUUCUAGGUGUAAACUAGGUACUUUAGUUUAAGCUAUGCUUUGGUAAUCCAAGCACACUUUCCAGUAUGCUUACCUUGUUACGACUUGUCUCCUCUUGCAUGAUUAUGUAAUUAAAUAUAGGUUAUUUUGUAUUACUAUAUGCUUGAGGAGGGUGACGGGCGGUGUGUGCGUGCUUCAUGGCCUUAUUCAAUCAAGCACUCUAUUCUUGAUUUACUGCUAAAUCCUCCUUUGGUUUUUAGUUUCAUAAAAACUUUCGUACGGUGAAUAUUCUUAUGCAGAAAAUGUAGCCCAUUUCUUUCCAACUCAUAAGCUACACCUUGACCUAACGUUUUUAUGUGUUAUGAUUGUGCUUACUAUUGUUCCUUUGUAGGGUUUGCUGAAGAUGGCGGUAUAUAGGCUGAAUUGGCAAGAGUUGGUAAGGUCUAUCGGGGUUUAUCGAUUAUAGAACAGGCUCUUCUAGGUGGAUGUGAAGCACCGCCAAGUCCUUUGAGUUUUAGGCUGUUGCGAGUAGUACUCUGGCGAAUAGUUUUGUUAUAUAACUAUUUGGGCAUGUUGUUGAGUCUCCAUGUGUUUGUGUUUUUUGCAGGGGUCCUAGCUAUCGUGUGUCAGGAUUAUUAGAGUCACUUUCGUGGGUUAUUUUAUUUUAACUAGGGCUUUUUACAGCUUAGUUAUAAUUUAACUCUNNNN
rnacentral:lncRNA from 1 species